rnacentral:rRNA from 1 species
UACGUAGGGCGCAAGCGUUGUCCGGAAUUAUUGGGCGUAAAGAGCUCGUAGGCGGCUUGUCACGUCGGAUGUGAAAGCCCGGGGCUUAACUCCGGGUCUGCAUUCGAUACGGGCUAGCUAGAGUGUGGUAGGGGAGAUCGGAAUUCCUGGUGUAGCGGUGAAAUGCGCAGAUAUCAGGAGGAACACCGAUGGCGAAGGCAGGUCUCUGGGCCACUACUGACGCUGAGAAGCGAAAGCGUGGGGAGCGAACAGG